rnacentral:lncRNA from 1 species
UUAAUGCCACCACCAUAUCCAGAGGCAACCACUGUUCUGGAAUUCUUCCAUCAUAGUUUAGUUUAUUCUGCUCUAGAGUGUAUAAAAAUGGCAUCACAAGGCUAUCCAGAGCAUCUCAUCACGUGGGGAAGGAACCCUAGCAUUAUGCUUCCAAGGAGUAGGUUCGUGGUCUUGCUGGCCUCAGGAGUGAAGCUGCAGACCUUCACAGUGAGUGUUACAGUUCAUAAAGGCGGCACAUCCGGAGUUGUUCAUUCUUCCCAUCCAGAGUUGUUCGUCCCUCCUGGUGGGUUCGUUGUCUUGCUGGCUUCAGGAGUGAAGCUGCAGACCUUCGCAGUGUUACAGCUCAUAAAAACAGUGCAGACUGGAAGAGUGAGCAACAGCAAGAUUUAUUGGGAAGAGGAAAAGAACAAAGCCACCACUACGUGGAAAAGGACCAGAGCAGGUUGCCCCUGCUGGCUCAGGUGGCCUGCUUUUAUACCCUUAUCUGGCCCCAUCCACAUCCUGCUGAUUGGUCCAUUUUACAGAGAGCUGAUUGGUCCGUUUUGA